rnacentral:rRNA from 1 species
AUGUACAUGCCUACAGUAUAGCAUUAAUGCAUUGGAUCCCAUUAGAACUUCACAGUUAAGCACGCUUAGGAUAGAGUACUACUGGGAUGAGUGACCACUCGAGAAGUCCUAGUCUUUUAUAUG